CCUGGGCUCCCACCCGCCGCCCCCCCCCCCCCACUCCCAGAGCCACCAGACCUCCCUGGCUGGAGGUGUACACAGGCAAGUGCCCAGUUUUAUUAAAAUAAUCAAACAGUCACUGGGGGCUGGCUGGGGUUUCAUCUCUACUCGGCUCCUCUCUCUGCCCUCCCCUUGUCUGAAAUGUAUUAUUUGGAGGGUCGGGUUGAAGAGGUCAAUAGAAGCGUAAACACAGUCAGUAGGUCUUAGCCUGAGCAGACCCAGCUUGGAAAAUCAAGAAUUAGUGCUUGGAACACAUGUCAGGGUUCCUGUUUCUAUUUCUCCUUCGUAUCUCCAUCACCCUGAUCUUUACUCAGGCUUGGUCUAGAGAUUCAGGCCUGCAGGCCAAGGUCUAGGGAGAAGGGUGGAGGCAGGAGAACCACCCUGGAGAUCGGAAGCCACCUCAGAAGACCACAGAAGUGUGAUCUUCUGUGGCUCCUGGGAACUACAAUCCCAGGGCAGGCCUGACGCAUCGCUGCAGAAUUCCAGAGUGGAGGACUGUCCAACCCUAAAAUCGGGGCAACCAGCAAGCAAACCAAGCCCAGCAGUCUCUAGAGUUCUCACUCCACCUUCCAGCGCAGAAGCGGGGAGUGACGCCCAGCUGGGAAGGAUGUGUUCAGGUGGAGAGUUUGGAAAGGACCCCCCCCAAGAGAGACCCCUUUUAGGCCAAGCCUUCUUCCAGCGUCUGUCAAGGGUAGUAAAUACUGGUACCUCCCAGCUCGAAGUUGGUUUGUGGUCCUCGACAAAUUAAAUAUUACUGUUUAUUACCAGGCAUACCCCAAUAAAAUAAAGAGGCGACCAGGCGAUACGGACUAUCUCACCAGCCGCUGCACCUAUAGGACGUGGAGACGUCACGAGUCACGCAACCGGCCCGCGCGCUGUCACGCUCGAUUGGGGGGCAGCGGCGGGAUGUUGAUUUCUCGAAUCCCCGACUUCCCCUACGACUCCCACCAGGGGUCUGCGCAACCACAAGUCCCAGACGCGUGGGCCAGGGGAAAAAUAAAGAAAUAAACAAAUCCAACUCUCUCUGGGGAAAAUGGGGGUAGCGGACAGCAUCCCCAAAUAGAACCAAGAUCGAUUUUCUUAGGGAGGGAGGAGGGGAGCUUUGGGCGAACGGAGGUGAGAAUCCCACCUCAGCCCAAAGAUUAGAAAGAAAUCGAGUUGGGGGUAAGGGGGGCAGGAAUCGAGGUCUCCUGAAGGAGGUUAAGAGAAUCUUUUUUUUUUUUCCCCCUAAUUUUCUCAGGAGGAGCUCUCAGCAUUGGCGUUUGAGGCGCCUCUAUAACUGGUUAAGUUUGGGACGCGAUAACUUAGUGCCCUCUUGCAGACGUGCAUAGAAGCAAUUACUGGGUUAUCGCACAGAGGAAAAGAGACAGAGACGUUAGGACGAAGAGUCGUCCCCAGUGUUUCUGGCUGAGAAAAAGCCACAUUCUGCAAAUCCUCCUUUAGCUGGGUCUGGGGAUGAAGCUAGUCCCAGCGUGGCCCGGCGGGGGUGGGGUGCGAUUGGGUGGUGGAGGAGGGGAGAGGAGAAGGGUGAUUUCUGUAGAGAAAAAUUGCAGUGCCGGAUCCUGUAGAAGGACGAGGCGCUCUAUUUUGUUUUGUAAUAACGAUCAUCAUUAUUAUUGGUCUCAUCAGUGGGCAUAACUUCUAAGCAGCCCCGUGGUGGCUGCGCAUAAGCCUUUGCGCGCAGCUGGAAAUGCACUGGGUUCAGGGGUGAAACGUACCCCAUAGACGUCCCCGGCAGCGCCGAGAAGAGAGGUAGGCCUACCCAACUCCUAGCGAUCGAGCGUCCGACCUUCCGGAAAGGGUAAGUUCCCCGCCGAGGGGCUCCGAGGGAGCCCGAACUUCGGAAUCUGGGCUCUCCCCCCAGCUUCGGAGUUCGAGACUGGGUUUCCGCGCGCGGCAAGCCCCCAGGGCUUUCCGAAGCAUGGCCUGGCUCCAGGCCCCGUCCAUCUGGGGCUGGAGCGGCAGCAAAAUGUGCAGGAAGGCAGUCGACCGAGCAGCCUCAGAAGCUAAGGUCAGGCCCGUGGGGAAAGCGACCAGUGGUUUCCAGCGCCGGACGCGGGCGUCCCGGCCAGUUUGGCCGCAGACUCGGCUGCUUCCAGCAAAUAGAACCCGCGUGCCUUUUCUCCGUCAGGCCUCAAGAACUUUCCCGAGCAUCGCUUUCAUUUAUCAAAUUAUUAAUAAUUAUUUUUUACCCAAUGCAAGGCCCUUUGGGUGCAGCCUUUGCGCCCGCGGAUGCCCAAGAGCGCAACCCGAAAUCCUUCGCCCAAAACCUGGAAACGGGUUCCCAUUUGACCUCUGGGCUGAGGUGAGCCGGAAACCGAGGCCUGGGCCCCAAAGGGGAAAGCGAAACUCCGAGCGGAGCGAGCUCUUUUCCUUUCAGUUCCUUUCUCUCGCAUCCCCAGCGCGGGCCCCGCAAUCACCCGGACCGACUCACGAAAGAUUCCGCAGGCUCACCUUCCGAACCCGCUGUCCCAGAGGGGCCGGAGGCCGCACCACGGAUAGAAUAAACCGAAGACCUCAACUAGAGUUGAGAAGCUCCAUUCUUUCCCCAAUCACUGGACAGUUAACUGGAAAGAGAGACUUGGAGAUACAAACUUCCUCCCUUCUUUCGGAGGACUGAGGCUUUUCCCGAACCGCCCCCAGCUCGGUUUUCUCCCGAAAUGUGUUUUCCUCAUUUUGCAAAAUUCCUGCCCAGAUUUUAAUAUUGCCAUGCCUAGGAGAACAGAGCUUCCCAGUUUAAAAAUCGAAAACAAGAAAACCAGGGCGUCCGCUGUGAAUCUUUUUCCUUCACUCUUGCCUUCUACUUUUAAGAAAGCCGCAUCCCAAACCACCAUAUUUCUUUCCUCCCCGAAGAGAACUCGCUUAAGAAUUCAGUUUCCGUUUCUCCCCCGACGUGUCCCCGCCUGACUCGGAUCUCUGUGGAAGGCAGAAAGUAGGUAGAAGUGCGGAUAGGGCUGGGAAAAAUUAGUAAGAAUUGUAACAACAGUGUUAAAUGAUGGCAAAAGUUAACUUUGACCAACUCGUUUUGCAAAAAAAAGAAAAAAAGGUCAGACUGAGGGUGGGAAAAUCUCUCCUUUCUCAGGGGGUCACUUUGCCUGCUGCCUACUUAAAUCUGGCUUUAUUAUGUUUUUUCCAGGACUUUAGUGUCGUCCUUCCCAAUGUCUUCUUCGCUUCUCGGUUUCCUGCUUUUUGACCGGAAGUAUUCGGGAACACUAGCGGUUAUUAUUUCAGAAUAUCCAGUAUUCUCCAAUAUUUCCACCAAGAAUUAGCACUGAUACUUACUUUAUCAAUUAGGCGUGUUGAUGUUGUUUCUUGUGCUUUAGAACUAUCCGUCCCCACUCCCUCAAAUUUGGAGGAUGAGACCCCUCCCUACGACCACCACCACCCGCUUCAGGUUAAUGAAAUAAGAAAUGGCUGUGGGAACAUCGUUCUAGAGACUCAGCGGAGCUAUCAGUGCUGGAGAUUCCCAAGCUCCAAAGGAUCGGAGAAAGCAGUAUUACACUUAGGAUGCAAAGGAGCCCCAGAUCUUGCCCCUUCUGAUUUGGCAAGUCCACAGUGGAAGAGAAAGCUCGGGCCGCUGCGGGUCUCCUCUGGCCUCCUGGUGCUGGGUUUCUGGCUUCUGGGGGCAGCCCCGACAGAAGGGUCCGGAAGUAGGGACCCUGAACAUCUCACUCCCCCAUCAUAGCCACAAUCACAUCCGGAAAACACUGGGGUGAAACCGACAGAGGCUGGCCGUGGGGUGCGACUGACAGGUUCUUAGUGGAAAAGUUCCCGGCAAUUGUUUCCGCAAGGGCCCUGGGUUUCCUGGUCGCCAUGGCAACCCCGAAGUGCCCCCCUUGUACGCUCUCGACCACCGGGCGCCCGGAGGACAAUCGCCUCGUACUUUGGCCGCGCGCUCUGAGGCCUGCAAGGCGCUUCCGCCCUUUGGUCUGGGCUUUCCGGAGGCUCUUCUGUGGAUUCAACACGGCAGGGAUUGAAAAACUCCUCUCCUUUUUUAAACGAGGGAGAAAAUCUAGGAUUUCGUAGAAUCUCUGCAGGGUCGGUUGGGGGGGCGGUCUCCAGCAAAAGCUCCCACUUUUGUACUGAGAGAGAUGACUUCCGAGACGCGCGCCCACGCAGCGAGUUGGAUACAUCCAUUCAAGCCCGCAUCCAGAACAUCUCAGCGCGGGAGGGGGGAUGGGCUUUGAGGAAUCGGGGGUCUCUUAACAUUCACUGGUCACCCCCAUCAGCACCCGAGUUUCCCCACGUUCUUUCCAGGUAACCCUUUCUCCUGCCUGGAAUAAGGUCUCCUAAGAAGGAGGAGAGACGUGGGGAAAUUAAUGUUUGCAAGAUCUUAAGAAAAAAAAAUAAACUAUACUCCUUUUUAAAGGAGAAAAA